CAGUGACGGUGGCAGGUGGGUGUUUGUCCCUCCUCGCCUUUGUUCACCUGUCACCUGCUGCAUACUAACCAGGCUCCUCCAGAUCCAGUGGACAGCUGCGAGUCGUGUUGCGCCGGUGUGUGAGAGCGGUGAAGAGUGGGUGAGGCGUCAGGCCACUCACCGCAUCCCGGCAUGGACAAACCUCAGCAGAGGAGUGACGCAGCGCCUUCUACAAUGAUCGUCCAUGUUAAGUGAGACGUGGCGGCGUGAAAUCUCCUGCCACAAAGGUUGCCAGAUGUAGCUUGCUGGAGGCGGAGGGACGGAUCGGGGUACAGAG